rnacentral:rRNA from 1 species
GAUGAACGCUGGCGGCGUGCCUAAUACAUGCAAGUCGAGCGAACGGACGAGAAGCUUGCUUCUCUGAUGUUAGCGGCGGACGGGUGAGUAACACGUGGAUAACCUACCUAUAAGACUGGGAUAACUUCGGGAAACCGGAGCUAAUACCGGAUAAUAUUUUGAACCGCAUGGUUCAAAAGUGAAAGACGGUCUUGCUGUCACUUAUAGAUGGAUCCGCGCUUCAUUAGCUAGUUGGUAAGGUAACGGCUUACCAAGGCAACGAUGCAUAGCCGACCUGAGAGGGUGAUCGGCCACACUGGAACUGAGACACGGUCCAGACUCCUACGGUAGGCAGCAGUAGGGAAUCUUCCGCAAUGGGCGAAAGCCUGACGGAGCAACGCCGCGUGAGUGAUGAAGGUCUUCGGAUCGUAAAACUCUGUUAUUAGGGAAGAACAUAUGUGUAAGUAACUGUGCACAUCUUGACGGUACCUAAUCAGAAAGCCACGGCUAACUACGUG